rnacentral:lncRNA from 1 species
CUAUGUACUAUUGUGGAUCCAUCUUCAUUGGUUGAUCGAAAUGAGCGGUAGGUGAUUGUUUGAUUUAGGUUUAUGAAAAUUAGACCGAUACGAAUAGUUACUCAUAAUCUCUUUGCAGUUUGACUAUCUGUCAUAAUCAAAGUGAAAGUCUAUCAUCUAAUGCUCGAGAAUACAUCGAUUGGGAAGUGAGAACUAUAAUUGAUAAUGAGGACAUAAUUGAAAGUGAUGAUAAGUAUGUUCUUGGAAGUGAUGAAGAUGAUGUAAGUCGAACCGAUGAUGAAUCUACUGAUGAUGAUAUAAACAUUGUUUCGCAAUCUUUGGAUCCUGAUCAUGAUGGUGGUUUGAACACUUUUGCAUGCGCUAUUCAAGAUGAAGGUGUAAAAUGGAUUGAAAAUUCGAAUGUCAACAACGAGGAUAGAUCGGACAUGGUGAAAUUCAAAGAAUUUAAAGAUCAACGACGACGGUUUCUUGUCACGCCUCGGAUUACUCGUUUCCCCGGGCACGCUAACAGACCCACCGUAUACAUAGAAAUUUUUCCUGUAUACGAAGCGAAAGCUAUACUGUACCUGUACACAUAAAACACUAUGAC